rnacentral:sRNA from 1 species
AGAGGACUACAAUCAAGUUCGUUUAAAAGAGUUGGCAAUAUUUAUGUCCAGAGUUGCGAAUACUACGUUAAGUAUGUUCGAUCCUGUUAAGUCAUAAGUAAUACCGAGUUUUUUUAGCACUUUAACGGAAUGUUCCGUGUAAAUUAACUUAACCUACAGGAUAAACAGACAUGUCUGACGUAGUAACUGGUACAGUAAAAUUCUUCAACGAAACUAAAGGUUUCGGUUUCAUCACUCAGGAUCAAGGUCCUGAUGUAUUUGUUCAUUUCUCUGCUAUCAACAGUUCUGGUUUCAAAACUUUGGCUGAAGGCCAAAAAGUUGAAUUCCAAGUAGCUCAAGGUAAAAAAGGCCCUGAAGCUCAAAACGUAACACCUUUAUAGGGUAGCGUUUUAAGAGACUUGAUCUAGUAUUAGAUUGACAAAAGCGACUCUCGAGUCGCUUUUUUUG